rnacentral:lncRNA from 1 species
UUUUGCUAGCUUGUAUAUGGUAAACUUGCUAUCAUACUACCAUGAUGAUCAGCAUGCCUUAUCUUCAUGAUUAUAUUUGAAAAACUAUGGCAAAAAUAUGUCCGAAUGAUUAAACGUGUUAAAAUUAUUUUUCGGACUUUUUUGAUUGAAUGAUCAAAUCACUUGAUUGCCAUAAUGAUUUUACACAAUUACUUGCCAUGAUUACAUGUUAGAAAUUAUGUGCUUGAAUACAAAAAUUUCCAUGAUAAUAAGCAUGUUUUACCUUCAUGAUUGUAAUUGAAUAUCUCUAGUAAAACCCUGUCUGAAUGUAUGAAAGUGUCAAAUUUCAUUUUCGGAUUUUCUUGAUCCUAACAAUUGGAUUUUCUUGAUACAUUAUCCUCUUCCAAACUUAACAAGCAUAUGUCAUAUCAAGUUUAAUUCACAUCAUUGAUUUUUGACAUAUGGAAUCAUCUAGCAA